GCGAAAACGAAAGUGAGUAUAAGGUGUGAUGCUUUCUAUACUGGGAGCUGCAACAUCGACCAAACCUUGAUCUUCUGUGAAGGGUUUGAGUAAUAGCAUAUCUGUUACGACCCGAAAGAUGGUGAACUAUACUUGAGCAGCCUGAAGCCUGAGGAAACUCAGGUGGAAGGGCGCAGCGGUACUGACGUGCAAAUCGUUCGUCAGACUUGAGUAUAGGGGCGAAAGACUAAUCGAACCAUCUAGUAGCUGGUUCCCUCUGAAAUUUCUCUCAGGAUAGCUGGAACAAAUCUAGCAGUUUUAUCAGGUAAAGCGAAUGAUUAGAGGACUCGGAGCUCCCAGAGCUUUGACCUAUUCUCAAACUUUAAAUUGGUAAGAACUAUUAGUUCUCUUAAUUGAACUAGUAGUGGAAUGCUUGUUCCAAGUGGCUUAUCGUGGUAAGCAUGUUAAGCAAUGAGGGAUGAACCUAACGCU
rnacentral:rRNA from 1 species